rnacentral:rRNA from 1 species
UGGGGAAUAUUGGACAAUGGGCGAAAGCCUGAUCCAGCCAUGCCGCGUGAGUGACGAAGGCCUUAGGGUUGUAAAACUCUUUCGUCGGGGACGAUAAUGACGGUACCCGAAGAAGAAGCUCCGGCUAACUUCGUGCCAGCAGCCGCGGUAAUACGAAGGGAGCUAGCGUUGUUCGGAAUCACUGGGCGUAAAGCGCACGUAGGCGGAUAGUUAAGUCAGGGGUGAAAUCCUGGGGCUCAACCCCAGAACUGCCCUUUGAUACUGGCUGUCUCGAGGUCGAGAGAGGUUGGUGGAAUUCCUAGUGUAGAGGUGAAAUUCGUAGAUAUUAGGAAGAACACCAGUGGCGAAGGCGGCCAACUGGCUCGAUACUGACGCUGAGGUGCGAAAGCGUGGGGAGCAAACAGGAUU